CGGGGGGAGCAAGCGUUGUUCGGAUUUACUGGGCGUAAAGGGCGCGUAGGCGGCGUGACAAGUCACUUGUGAAAUCUCCGGGCUUAACUCGGAACGGUCAAGUGAUACUGUCGUGCUAGAGUACAGAAGGGGCAACUGGAAUUCUCGGUGUAGCGGUGAAAUGCGUAGAUAUCGAGAGGAACACCUGCGGCGAAGGCGGGUUGCUGGGCUGAUACUGACGCUGAGGCGCGAAAGCCAGGGGAGCGAACGGGAUUAGAUACCCCGGUAGUCCUGGCCUUAAACGAUGAAUGCUUGGUGUCUCGGGUUAUAAAGUCCCGGGGUGCCGUCGCUAACGCUUUUAGCAUUCCGCCUGGGGAGUACGGUCGCAAGACUG
rnacentral:rRNA from 1 species